UGGAGGGAUUAGUUUUCAUAGAGGCCAUGACGCUGCUCGAAUUUAUACCGCCGCUCCCUCUGUGUAUCACGGGCUAGAAAAGUGUCGCCUAGCGAAGUCCAAGACAACUUUUAAUAAGUGUAUUUUAACGUUACUGAAUAACUUAUCCUUUGUUUCAGCUACUCAGCUGACAAAUAAGAAGACAAAUUUUGGGGGGGAGUUUUUUCAGACUUCCAGCUGGAGGAAAUAAAUUGGAAAUGAUGGAUGUCAGAUGUUUGUGUUUUAUGGGAGACCAUGGGAAUCGUGCGAUAAAGCCUUAGGACCCCUGACCAGACUCCUGGUGUUUAACAAAGGUAGACAGAAGCUUUGAAGAACCUCUAUGUUUUACCUUUGGCAGCGCUUCGAGGACCAGCGC